rnacentral:rRNA from 1 species
UGGGGAAUAUUGCACAAUGGAGGGAACUCUGAUGCAGCAACGCCGCGUGCGGGAUGACGGCCUUCGGGUUGUAAACCGCUUUCAGCCAUGACGAAGCUUUUGUGACUGUAGUGGUAGAAGAAGCACCGGCUAACUACGUGCCAGCAGCCGCGGUGAUACGUAGGGUGCGAGCGUUGUCCGGAAUUAUUGGGCGUAAAGAGCUUGUAGGCGGUUUGUCGCGUCGAUAGUGUAAACACGCAGCUUAACUGUGUGCCUGCUGUCGAUACGGGCUGACUAGAGGAGGGUAGGGGAGAAUGGAAUUCCCGGUGGAGCGGUGGAAUGCGCAGAUAUCGGGAGGAACACCAGUGGCGAAGGCGGUUCUCUGGACCUUUCCUGACGCUGAGAAGCGAAAGCGUGGGUAGCAAACAGG